UACAGAGGGGGCAAGCGUUGUUCGGAAUUACUGGGCGUAAAGGGCGCGUAGGCGGCCCGCUAAGUCGAACGUGAAAUCCCCGGGCUCAACCCGGGAACUGCGUCCGAUACUGGUGGGCUCGAAUCCGGGAGAGGGAUGCGGAAUUCCAGGUGUAGCGGUGAAAUGCGUAGAUAUCUGGAGGAACACCCGUAGCGAAGGCGGCGCUCUGGGCCGGUACUGACGCUGAGGAGCGAAAGCGUGGGGAGCAAACAGG
rnacentral:rRNA from 1 species